GAGUCUUGGGGAGAGCAGGUUUAAUAUAUCUUUAGUCAACAAUCUCCCAAUAAGAACUGAAUUUGAUAAGACUAUAUAAAUUACAGCAAGAAAAAGAUUAAAAUGUCAGUCUUUACAAUUCUUGACCAACUUGGAUCAUGUUAUUCAUGCUGUCAUUUAUGUUUGAAACGCAUUAUGAACCCAACCCAAGAUUUUCUUCACCUACAUCCUUUCUCCAAACCUCUUCCUUUCUCAGAAUUCUCUCAUAGUUAAUGCCAUAAACAUCCUCCUAGUCACUGGCUGGAACUCUUGAGACCAUUUUAGCUCCUUAUUUUCCUUCAUCUUGUACAUUCUGUGAAAUACCAGUUCUAGUUAGUUCUGUCUACAGAGUUCCUUUCAUACUUGCCUUUUUGUUGUUGUUUAACAAAGCAUUGGCUGAUUCCAGGUUCUUGGUAUUUCUUGCUUGAAUAAGUACUAUACUCAAUUUAACUUGAGUAUAGGUUUCAAAUAUUUGCUACCUCCCAUCCAGUAUGCCACACUGCCCCUCUUAAAUGCUAUGAAAAUCUUUGCAUUGCAUUUGAGUCUCCUGUAUUGACCCUCUAGUUCAACACAGUGGCCCACUGUUACCCCAAGAAAGUCAUUUUCAGAUUUCUGCUUAGUUUAUGCUAGAAAUGGCAAAAUUGGUCUCAACCCUUAGGUCCAAAUCAGAAGCAACCUUUGACACUUUCCAUGUAAUCUGUAUCCUUCUGAGCUAGGAGACAGGGAAGUUUCAUGUGAUAGAGAAGGAAGACUGUAAUAGGACAAGAAACAUACUCCUCCUUUUCGCUUCUUCAGCCUCUCCAUGCAUCCAGUGCCUUCCUUCUUUCCCUUCAAUGCGCUCUGAAUGCCGCUGCAUGCUCUGCUUCCUGACCAGGGGCAUGGCUUAUUGGCAGGAUCUAGCUGAGAGCUGAAGAAAAGGAGAAAAGCUAAACUUCAAAAAGCAUGCACUUCGCAUGGACACAGGGUCUGAGGCAUUCCUUGGGGAACACAGAGAACCAAGGACUUGGUGUUAACUCAGCCCAGUUAUUUACUUAAUCCGACUUUGUUGAUGACCACUUUUCCAAACUGAGGGACAGUUCCGUUUGCAUCUCAGUCCUCUCCUGUAUAAAAACGUGAUGGUGAAUUAGAAAAAAAACCCAAAAACCGAACAGCCAUGUUUCUGCUUGAUGGUACAUUUCUUACCACAGCAAAAGUGUCUGAUUGAAAUGGUUAUAAUAGAGCAGAAGAAGCACAGAAGUUAAGGUAAGAGGACCUGUUUGAGUGUGAUGUGGACGUGCUUUUGAAGUACACACCUGGUGCUCUCUUCUGCCCACAGCUUCUCUCCGGCUGUGUGUAGUAGGAAUGAGGGGAGAAAGGGAGAGCGUGUCACAGAUUCUCCCCCACUGCCUAUGAUGCAGCCGCUUCUCCCAUACAAAGAGGAGACAGACAGCCCCCAACCAGCUCACAGGCUGCUGUUUGAUGUAUUCUAUCCCUGCUAGCUGAGAGCAGACAGACAGCCCUUGUUGAGAGGAAGCUGUGGCCUGAACUCUAGGCUGAAAUGGAGACAAUUGGAUCACUGAGCCAGAGGGUUGAAUAAGGUUCUCAGUUAUUAGGAAUUAUCACCAGAGUCCUACAUUGGGAAACACAUUCAGGCCACAGGUAAAAAGCAGACUGGUCAUGAUAAAGCUGAUGGAUCAUGGAGAGGCCCCACUCUACUCACACCUGUACAUUUGCUAGCAGGGAGAAGUUUUUCCAAAAUGAGAUGUCGUAGCCUGUAAAUAUUAAGUGGCCAGCUGUGAACCACUGCAAAGCCAAUCUGGACACAUUUUAAUUGGAAUAAGAGCCAGAGAAGUAGCCAAAGACAUCUGCCAAAGGAAUGGAAGUAGAUCUUGGUAUUACUUGAUUGCCCACUGGGGAUAAAGGGCAGCAAAUCAAGUGCUGGAAGUUAGAACCUUGUGAGAACAGAAAUGGGGCUAGAAAGUAUGGCAAUGUAAGUUUUCUUUCCAUAGAUUAGCAAUAACUAAUGGCAGAUAAAUCAUUCAUCCUUUAAAUCUUAACAUUUUCUUUGGAAUGAUAGUGUAGUUUACCUAAACUUUUUUCCUUAGUUCUGGUGAAGUAACUGAACUUGAAGUUUAAUUUCUUUGGAUAUAUUUCUUCAGUUCCUGCAGUUAUAAGCAGUCUCUGUCAUUUUAUGAAAAUGUGUUUUAUUCUCUAAUUUUUUGAGAAAGAAAAAGAAGUGUAGCCCAUUACCAGUCCAAACAAAGGGAAGCAGCUGAUAGAGUUUUGCAAAGUGCUGAUUGUACUUGUGAGCAACCCGUGGUCUGCUUGCUCUUGGAGAGGAGCAUUCUCUAACUUGAAAUUUUCCACUGUUUGCCAGGCCCAGGAAGUAUCAACAAUGGUUAAGUGAGAAUGAGAUUCGUGACCUUAAGAGUGGUUUGGCUAGAAAACCUGAGGAAAUACUCAGGGGUACCAUCCCAGCUGACAGGGAGUAGUGUGUUUCCUGGGUACUGGAAUGGCAGGGGGUGGGGUUGGUCCUUGGGAUGGAUGUGCACCUGCUUUCUGAUGGUCUUCUAAUGAGGGAUUUUGUUUUUCUCUGACAGGGGUGACUUAGAUGUCAUCCUCUCUGGGACAGAGAUGUCCUUAUGUCUCUGAGGUUUGACGAAUUUCCUAAGAGACCACAGGGACAUGUUCUUUGACCUGGACUAGUUUUGAUAUGGGAUGGCACUUAAAUUACCUGUUCUCAGGCUUGAGUUUCUUGCUUUAUCUCUGCAUUGCCCUCACAUUCUCCCAGAGCCACAUUCCCCCUGCUCUGACACCUGCUUCUCUGAACUCCGGAGGAAGUUCUGCGCACCCAACAGGGCAAGUGAGGUCAAUGGAACACUGAGCCCAGCAAGGCAGAAAUAAAGAAAAUGCAGCAGUCAUUCUGGACGGUGGUAGGUUUAUGUCCCAAGAAGAAGGAAACAUGAGCACUUCAAGGACACAGGAAUUUGUCAGAAUUCUUUCUUUGCCAAAUCCUAGCAGAGGUCUGCCCUCAGUCCACUGUCAAGAACAAUUUCCUGUUCUCUUUUUCCAGCCUGCAUGUCCAUUCUGUGGAGAAAGACUUGGCUUCCACUGAUGGACUGUCAAAUGUAGCUGAGUUCAGUACCUUUGCCAAAACGUUUAACCAUUUCCUCUGGAAAGCUGAUAUCCAAAUAGAACCUACCCAGUAACUUUAUUUGCUUUCAUGAAUUAUUAAAACUGCUAAAAUUUUACCUGUCAGUCUCUCCUUGGGAAGCAGUGGGAAAUCUGAGGAUAAUUUUCUGCUGAGAAAUAAGUAAGACAUGAUCUUAAAGGUAAAAUUUUAAAGGUGAUCAUGUCUCACAAGCCCAAAGUUUCCAUUGUAAUAGUCCAGCUGUUGGUCACAUGCCACAUUCAUGCAACAGUGAUUCUUUUUAGAUCUUGCCAUCAAAAUUUGCGUACAGCUCAACCCAGUAGGGCAGCUAGCACCAAUGGGAGCAAGUGGGCAAUUCAUCUACACAUGAAGUGCUGCAGGAGACCUGAAAUGUUUCUUCAGAGAUCUUUCUUCCUACAUUUGCUGAUUUCUUUUAAUGAGUAUAGAAAGAGAGAUUAUGUGUGCUUAACUUUAUGCAAGUUUCUAUUCAGAUGUGGUUUCUUGUAAUGUAGGAAACAUUUUUAUUUUUAAUUUGAGAAGCAUCCAGGCCUGAAAUUUGACAGUAAAGAAGUCAGGGUAAGGUUUUGCACAGAAAAUCUUAAGAUGUUUGGUUUCAGUCGUUGCAAAGGAGAAUGGUUUCUGCCUAGAGGCUUAGUUUGGUGACGUUAGAAAAUCACAAAGAUAAGAAGACUGAAUUAAAGCCAUUUUAACUAGGCACCUCAAGAACAGUGGUCUCACAUUGAAAAAUGUUUUGCAAAUCAAACGUUUGGUAACUUCAGAUGCAUUUAAUAUGAACUCAGAUAUGUGGUAAGUAUGUGUAAUCAGAAAGCGUCCACUUCCUAUCAGUCUGUGGUUAUAUGAAGACAAUUGACGUUAAUUUCCCAGACUCACUAUUUGGUAGCCUUCUAGCGUGUAACCGUAAAGCACCAGCGCCCGGCACAGUUGCCCCCAAGGAGUGACCCACACCCUCUGCCGGGCACUCUCUCAUCACUGAGCCAGGCACUUUGUCUUCUGGCCAUCAGCCUGGCCUUAGGGACAGCCCCCGAGUUGGGUCGUGUCCUCAUGGGGGAUCCUCCUGGCAGUUGUUUUCUGCAACAGCCCAACUAUCACCACCUUCAAUUGCUAAAAUGACAAAACCCUAAGGUACGAAACAAUCCUGUGUCCCCUUCAGUCCUCACUCUACCCGGGGACCGCAUUGUAGUCUGUGUGGAGUUGGUUGUCUUUUUCCUAUUUUGAACUUCACUUUGGAUCUGGACCCAAGCAUUUUUACUUGUGCUCUGAGUCUCACUAAGUCACUUGUGAAAACAGUCCUUUGAUUUUCUGCUUGACAGUAAAGUAACUUCCUCUUAGAGGCUAAAAACCUGGCUGGCACUAGACCAGAGGCCAUCACAUUUCCCUUUCAGUCCUCCACUGGGUUCCAGGAAAUAAAUCAUCUCCUAUAAUUAGACCUGAUGUGUUGCCCCAGCAAUAAGCGCUUCAUCCUUCACCCCCUGAAAAGACUGCAUUUCCUUUAGGGCCAUCCAGAACCACUGCUGAUGCAUAGCAAAAACCAACUCUAUUGUAAAGACAGUAGUGCCAUGAAACUCUGCAGAAUUCACACAUCUAAAAUUAUUUCCAGACAGACCUACAAUCUUUAAUAUCAUCCCCUUCUCUCCUCACGCCAAACAACUCUUUCCAGUAACUUCAGAAAGUGAAGAGAUAUGGUAAACCUGAAACUUCUGUGUGACAAAGAGCUCAACAGUUGUGAAAUUGCUUGCAGCACAUGUAGUCAACACGGGAGCUGAGAAAGUUUAUUUCUACUUCAUUCAGGUGGUUUCAUUUUUUGAAGAAAGUGAGUAAGAGAUUCGGUUGGCUAUUGCAGAAUGGAGCAUGCAGGACCCUCCAUUUCUCUAACAGAUAAGAGGAACCAUGAUAUGCACGUGUAUCCAAAGGCCAGUUUUGGAUCAAAGCAGGUGGGCAGCUGACCCUCUGAGUUCCAGUUACCCUGUGGAAGAAUCAGAUUUUACGGAAAUGAGGGCUCAGUGAUCACGAUGCUGUAUUUGCGUCACAUUCAAGCGGAUGACUCUUGCUCGAUGAUUUCCAUGGCGAUGACCUCAGCACCCUCCAUAGCGACGAC